rnacentral:rRNA from 1 species
GAUGAACGCUGGCGGCGUGCCUAAUACAUGCAAGUCGAGCGAACAGACGAGGAGCUUGCUCCUCUGACGUUAGCGGCGGACGGGUGAGUAACACGUGGAUAACCUACCUAUAAGACUGGGAUAACUUCGGGAAACCGGAGCUAAUACCGGAUAAUAUAUUGAACCGCAUGGUUCAAUAGUGAAAGACGGUUUUGCUGUCACUUAUAGAUGGAUCCGCGCCGCAUUAGCUAGUUGGUAAGGUAACGGCUUACCAAGGCAACGAUGCGUAGCCGACCUGAGAGGGUGAUCGGCCACACCGGAACUGAGACACGGUCCAGACUCCUACGGGAGGCAGCAGUAGGGAAUCUUCCGCAAUGGGCGAAAGCCUGACGGAGCAACGCCGCGUGAGUGAUGAAGGUCUUCGGAUCGUAAAACUCUGUUAUUAGGGAAGAACAAAUGUGUAAGUAACUGUGCACGUCUUGACGGUACCUAAUCAGAAAGCCACGGCUAACUACGUG